rnacentral:rRNA from 1 species
GGGGGGUGCUAGCGUUAUUCGGAAUCAUUGGGCGUAAAGGGCGCGUAGGCGGUCUUUUAAGUCAGAUGUGAAAGCCCUCGGCUUAACCGAGGAAGUGCAUUUGAUACUAAGAGACUUGAGUAUGGGAGAGGGAAGCGGAAUUCCUGGUGUAGCGGUGAAAUGCGUAGAUAUCAGGAGGAACACCGGUGGCGAAGGCGGCUUCCUGGACCAAUACUGACGCUGAGGCGCGAAGGCGUGGGGAGCAAACAGGAUUAGAUACUCUGGUAGUCCACACCGUAAACGAUGGACACUAGGUAUAGGGAGUUUCGACCCUCUCUGUGCCGAAGCUAACGCUUUAAGUGUCCCGCCUGGGGACUACGGCCGCAAGGUUA